GUGCCAGCCGCCGCGGUAAUACGUAGGUCCCGAGCGUUGUCCGGAUUUAUUGGGCGUAAAGCGAGCGCAGGUGGUUUAAUAAGUCUGAUGUAAAAGGCAGUGGCUCAACCAUUGUGUGCAUUGGAAACUGUUAGACUUGAGUGCAGUAGAGGAGAGUGGAAUUCCAUGUGUAGCGGUGAAAUGCGUAGAUAUAUGGAGGAACACCGGUGGCGAAAGCGGCUCUCUGGACUGUAACUGACACUGAGGCUCGAAAGCGUGGGUAGCAAACAGGAUUAGAUACCCUGGUAGUCCACGCCGUAAACGAUGAGUGCUAGUUGUUUGGGGCUAUCCAGCCCUAAGUGACGCAGCAAACGCAUUAAGCACUCCGCCUGGGGAGUACGACCGCAAGGUUGAAACUCAAAGGAAUUGACGGGGGCCCGCACAAGCGGUGGAGCAUGUGGUUUAAUUCGAAGCAACGCGAAGAACCUUACCAGGUCUUGACAUACCAGUGCUAUUCUUAGAGAUAAGAAGUUACUUCGGUACACUGGAUACAGGUGGUGCAUGGUUGUCGUCAGCUCGUGUCGUGAGAUGUUGGGUUAAGUCCCGCAACGAGCGCAACCCCUAUUGUUAGUUGCCAUCAUUAAGUUGGGCACUCUAGCGAGACUGCCGGUAAUAAACCGGAGGAAGGUGGGGAUGACGUCAAAUCAUCAUGCCCCUUAUGACCUGGGCUACACACGUGCUACAAUGGUUGGUACAACGAGUCGCAAGCUAGUGAUAGCAAGCUAAUCUCUUAAAGCCAAUCUCAGUUCGGAUUGUAGGCUGCAACUCGCCUACAUGAAGUCGGAAUCGCUAGUAAUCGCGGAUCAGCACGCCGCGGUGAAUACGUUCCCGGGCCUUGUACACACCGCCCGU
rnacentral:rRNA from 1 species